CUUCCUCCUAAAAGAUAAAAGUGGAAAAAAGGGCAUCCAUGAGAAGAGGCUAAGAAUGUGCACAGGUAAGAUUUGUUUUAUCCCCAAUCUAAAUUUUAUUGCUAAAAUGACCAUGGGGAUCUUAUUCUCUAGCAUAACAGCGAUUAUCCUCUACUUCCCGGACAAAGAAUGGAUACCAGAGGCAGAGCAACUGUAAAACUAAAGAUUGCAAUGUUUGCAUCCCCAGAGAGAAUCGGGAGAUUGCUCCAGGCAAAAACAGCAUCCCGUUUUCGCUCCCCCUUCAGGUCUUCUCCCCCGUCAUGGCUCAGCUAUGGUGCCUUCAGUUUAAGCAAUUGCGGGUAGAGUGAAAAAGACUGCCAUAUAUGAUAAAGAGAGUAAAAGAUUCUCGACCAUGCAAGACGAUGAACGAAAAAGGGCAGAAAGGACAACUUAAGGUGAGCUUUCAACAGUUGUUUUACUCCCAUUCCAUUUGUUCACGUGGAGCAAGAAAAUUUGACAAAACUGAUAUUUGA
rnacentral:misc_RNA from 1 species